rnacentral:rRNA from 1 species
UACGUAGGGUGCAAGCGUUGUCCGGAAUUAUUGGGCGUAAAGAGCACGUAGGCGGUCUGUCGCGUCGGAUGUGAAAGCCCCAGGCUCAACCCUCGAAUGCCGGUGGAUACUGUCGGGCUAGAGUGCGGAAGAGGCGAGUGGAAUUCCUGGUGUAGCGGUGAAAUGCGCAGAUAUCAGGAGGAACACCAAUUGCGAAGGCAGCUCGCUGGGACGUGACUGACGCUGAGACGCGAAAGCGUGGGGAGCAAACAGG